GGGGCUGUAGCUCAGUGGAUAGAGCAGCGACCUUCUAAGUCGUUGGUCGUGCGUUCGAGUCGCACCAGCCUCG
rnacentral:tRNA from 1 species